UUGGGAGUCUUGCACAAUGGGGGAAACCCUGAUGCAGCGACGCCGCGUGGAGGACGAAGGGUCUAGGCCUGUAAACUCCUUUUACCAGGAAAGACUUAGGACGGUACCUGGUGAAUAAGGACCGGCUAACUACGUGCCAGCAGCCGCGGUAAGACGUAGGGUCCAAGCGUUGUCCGGAUUUACUUGGCGUAAAGAGCGCGUAGGCGGUCUGUUAAGUGCACGAGUGAAAUCCCGGGGCUCACCUCCGGAACUGCUCUGCAUACUGGCAGACUUGAGGGUCGGAGAGGUUUGUGGAAUUCCUGGUGUAGCGGUGAAAUGCGUUGAUAUCAGGAGGAACACCCAUGGCGAAGGCAGCAAACUGGCCGGCAUCUGACGCUGAGGCGCGAAAGCGUGGGUAGCAAACA
rnacentral:rRNA from 1 species